rnacentral:rRNA from 1 species
AGGACAAACGCUGGCGGCGUGCAUAAAACAUGCAAGUCGGACGAGCCAAUCCCCGCAAGGGGAAAGGCUAGUGGCGAACGGCUGAGUAACACGUAGGUGAUCUGCCCUGAAGUGGGGGAUAACGACUCGAAAGAGUCGCUAAUACCGCAUGUGACCACCGAUCCGUUUUCGGUGCUCAAAAGUCGUAAGACGCUUUAGGAGGAGCCUGCGGCGGAUUAGCUAGUUGGUGAGGUAAUGGCCCACCAAGGCUUCGAUCCGU